UAUGAGGCUCAAAAAUUCUAAACACAAUGAAAAGAACUUUGAAGAUGUGUUCCAAACAAGAAGAGAAAUAGUCUCAGGGAAUAUGAUGUAAUGUCCAAAGAUGACAAAGAAAAGGCAACUGACUCAAAGUUACUCUUGGGCAAGUCAUUUCAUCUCUCCACGACACAGUUUCCUGCCUCUUCAACAAGCGAAAAGUGUUGGACACCAGGGUUGCAUCUAACUUAAUUUUGUUUCCGAUGUUCAUUAAGAAGAAUGAUCUUCAAGCUAGGAAGGAGAGUGUAUAUACCAAAGCGCUUUAUUAUAGCCAUAGCACCGUGAGAAAAUACAGGUUGAAUUAAUAAAUGGAACAGCUACUACAAGUACACUAAAAAGUAAGGAAAAAAAUAAAGAAUUUUUGUGGCCAGCAUAUUGGAAACAUUGUGGAAGAAUAGUUCCUCUUCACAUAAAGGUUACCUCUGUAAAGCUGCCAAGGUCAGAACCCUGGUGGGUUAUCUGCCAAAUGUGGAAACUGACAACCGAGAUGUUGAAUGGGAAAAUAUCUUGUUAUCUGCAAGAGAGAAGAUCCAUGAGAUAGAAGGAAACUGGAUAUCUGAAUUAAUGUAUAGAAGACCUCCUGACUGGGAAUGCACUCACACUGGAUUGUAAUGCAUGCGUCACUGUACUUUGCAUCUCACCCAUCCUGAAUGACAACUUGAAGAAUCAGCAUAUCAGCCAGGAUACUAGAGGACCCUUAAUUCUUAAUCAAAAUCCAUUUCUAUAAUACAAAGAGAGCACAUUCUUGGGUAUAUCCAACAUCCUCUUGUGAAAAGUAUGUUAAACAGAAGCAUUAUAAGAAUUAUAGCUGAAGAGCAGUCUCAAUUGCUUAUAUGUGUGCAUGUUUACACUAAAGACUUCAACAUUUCCAUGCUGUAUUUACAGAGAGCAAAAGUGCAACAGAUGCAUGCGUAUACAAUAUAUGUUUCACCUAACGUCCAACUGGCUAUUAUCAACUGGUAUUCAUUAAAUUGGAGCCUGAUAGUUCCUUGAGGGCAGGGACAGACAUCUCUCCUGCUUCUUGGUACCCACGUUCUCCCCACCAUCCCCAUGGUGUCUAGUACAAUGUACAAAGCAGGUGAUUAAUAAAUAUUUUCAGUUGAGUUGACAAUGCCUAUGCAAACACUUCUUUCUCAGUCUGAUAGCUCUUUAUCUGUUGC